UACGUAGGGGGCGAGCGUUGUCCGGAGUUACUGGGCGUAAAGGGCGCGCAGGCGGUCUGGCAAGUUUGGAGUGACAGUGUUCGGCUUAACUGAGCAAGGCCUUCGAAAACUGCUAGACUUGAGCACUCAAGAGGGACAUAGAAUUCCGGGUGGAGUGGUGAAAUGCGUAGAUAUCCGGAGGAAUACCAAAGGCGAAGGCAGUGUCCUGGGGAGUGUCUGACGCUCAGGCGCGAAAGCUAGGGGAGCAAACAGG
rnacentral:rRNA from 1 species